UGGGGACACAGGCUGCCAUUAGCUCUGGCAGAAACCAUCACACAGACUUGCCGCCUUUGAGAGCUACAAAGAUGAGCACAGAGGCAUCAUAGGAGUUCUCUCAAGAUGCAACCAGGUUAGGAUCUGGCGUUGUCGCUGCAGUUGCUAGGGUCACUGCUGUGGCUGGGGUUUGAUCCCUGGCCCAGGGAACUUCUGCAUGCUGAGGGUGCAGCCAAAAAAGGAAAAAAAAAGGCAUCAUAUUAGAGUCUUCUAAGGCUUAUUUUUCUCUCACAAUUAUACUUCUGAGAUUUUAUUAUUGUUGUUGCAUAGUUAUAAUUCAUUUAUUUUCACAACUUUAUCAUAGUCCAUAAAAAUCCAUCAUGUGAUUAUGCCACAAUUUUUUCUCCAAUCUCUAAUCCUGUCACUGGGCAUGUGAGUUACUUCUGUUUUUCGUUACCACAAACAAUUUGCCAGUAAUAUUCUUGCCCAUCUCCUUGGUAUUCAUAUAUAGCUCUAUAUCUGUUGAAUCUAAUAAUAAAAUAUCAGAACUUAUAUGUUGCAUCUUUUUUCACUUCAUUUUUUAGGAAUUCUUUUUUUACUAUAUUUUAGAAAAAUACCAUUCCCCCAACAAAUUAAAAAUCAAAACAAAACCAAAACUGAAAUACUGCUCUAGAGAGAAAAACUGCUGGGUCAAGGGCCGGCAGAUGUCCAGAAGUAAGCAAAAGUUCAAGGGUGUCCAAAUGUCAAACUGCUGUUUAAAACAGUUGUACCAAUUUGUGCUCCUGCCAGCAGUGGACAGGAGUUUGCUUACUGCUCCACAUCUUCAUCAACACUUAGUAUUAUGCAAUUUUUAAAGUUGUGCCAGUUUUGUGGGCAUGAGAUGUUUUCACUCCUUUGUUGCUAAUGAUGUUGAAAGCCUUUUCAUAUGUUUAUAGGGCAAUUGUGCUUCCUCGUCUGUGUUAUUCCUAUUUCUUUCCUUUGCCCCCCCCCUUUUCAUUUUCUUAUUGACUCAUACAGUUCUUUAUCUAUUCUGGAUAUUAGUCCUGUGUUGUUGAAGUGUGUUGCAGAAAUCACUCCUGAUUUGUGACUCAUUCGAAUUUCCUUGCAGUUGUCUUUAGAGAAGAGCAGAGAAGGUCCUACUUACAGAGUAGUUGGAUGUUCUCCGUUUUUCUUCAAGGCCCAGCUCCUCUUUGCUCCUUGCAGAUCAUGUUUUCCUGGUCAAAGCCUCUGCAUGGUCCCUGCCGAACUGAUAAGCACCAGAGCAGGGCAUGGACAGUGUUUUGCCUCGGCAGCCUCCUGCCUCCAGCCUCGUCUCUGUCCCGCUUUACACUCUGCAGUUUAUUCCUGAGCUUAUGUUCUCAGUCCUGAGUCUUUCCUGGAUGCCAAGACCUCCCUGCCUCUGAACCCAUCGCUCCUCAAAUUCCAGCUCUGGCACGACCUCCUCCCCUGCCCCGUCCCCUCUUCUUCUACUUUUUUUUUUUUUUCAAACAGUCCAGAGGUCUUUUAGUUGCUUAUACCUAUCAAGCCAUGAAUUCACAGGGAAUGGGUUCAGCAGUGCAGACUCUUCACACACGGGGCUUCUCUGGAUGGAGCAGGUGGCACUUCAGUUGCACCCAAGUAACUCUCUUUUUUUUUUAUUUUUUUGAAUUUUUUUUUAUUUUCCCACUGUACAGCAAGGGGGUCAGGUUAUCCUUACAUGUAUACAUUGCAAUUACAGUUUUUCCCCCACCCUUUCUUCUGUUGCAACAUGAGUAUCUAGACAUAGUUCUCAAUGCUAUUCAGCAGGAUCUCCUUGUAAAUCUAUUCUAAGUUGUGUCUGAUAAGCCCAAGCUCCCGAUCCCUCCCACUCCCUCCCCCUCCCAUCAGGCAGCCACAAGUCUCUUCUCCAAGUCCAUGAUUUUCUUUUCUGAGGAGAUGUUCAUUUGUGCUGGAUAUUAGAUUCCAGUUAUAAGUGAUAUCAUAUGGUAUUUGUCUUUGUCUUUCUGGCUCAUUUCACUCAGUAUGAGAUUCUCUAGUUCCAUCCAUGUUGCUGCAAAUGGCAUUAUGUCAUUCUUUUUUAUGGCUGAGUAGUAUUCCAUUGUGUAUAUAUACCACAUCUUCCGAAUCCAAUCAUCUGUCGAUGGACAUUUGGGUUGUUUCCAUGUCCUGGCUAUUGUGAAUAGUGCUGCAAUGAACAUGCGGGUGCAUGUGUCUCUUUUAAGUAGAGUUUUGUCCGGAUAGAUGCCCAAGAGUGGGAUUGCGGGGUCAUAUGGAAGUUCUAUGUAUAGAUUUCUAAGGUAUCUCCAAACUGUUCUCCAUAGUGGCUGUACCAGUUUACAUUCCCACCAGCAGUGCAGGAGGGUUCCCUUUUCUCCACAGCCCCUCCAGCACCAAGUAACUCUCUUUUGCUUCCUUCUUUUCCUGAUCACUUUCUUCACGUUUCAGGAAGCUGUCUCGGCUGGUGGAGUGCUUCCUAUGCUCAGUACGUACCUUGAUUCUCUUGGCAAGAACCUUGCCCUUAUCUUGUUUGUUGACAAUGCCAGCUGCGUGCCGGGUAGCCUCUUUCAUUUUGCAUGGGAACCUCGGUGGGUGUUCCCUUUAGAAUGGUGCCCCUUCCCGAGCCGUCUACAACAUCAGUUUUCUGGUGGGUUUGAGGGUCUGUGGCCAAAGGAACAGCUCCCCGCUUUCUAAAAGGCCUAGAGAACAUGUGGCUGGCGCCUCUCCUGCCUUCCUUUGUGUUGGUCACUUUGGUGAAUUACUGGAAGACGGUGGCUCUGGAGGAAAGGGACAACCUCCUCUUCUUAGAAGCGUUUCUUCCUCUGAUCAGUGGGCCUCAAGCCUGGCUAAGCAUCAGAGGACUGCCAGUACCCAGGUUUUUGACUCCUAAAGUGGGAUGACCUCUACUGUGAAUAAGUGUAAUUUAUUAAAUAGAUACGCUAUUUUAAAACAGGGGAUUCCUUAACAAUGGGAUGUUUGGGAGGGGAAGAAAGGUUAGGAAACACUGCUUGCUUGCCAGUGAUGUCUACCGUAUCCCUGACACCAUCCUGCUUCCACGUGAACUUUUCCAGGGACAGGAAGCUCACCACCUCAGUGGGCUGCUCCAGCCGUUAGAAACUACUUUCUUGUUUUCUUCCUUCCUUCCUUCCUUCUUUUUGGCUGCACCCAUGGCAUGCGGAAGUUCCUGGGCCAGGGAUCCAACCCGCACCACAGCAGUGACCCGGGCCUCUGCAGUGACAAAGCCAGAUCCUUAACUCAUUGUGCCACAAGGAGACUGCUUUCUUCUGCUGUGUCUCUGCCUUGUCUUUUAUACUUACUGAUCGUCACUCUGCCCUCCAGAGAAACACUCUGUCUUUUCUGUUUGGCACACCCCUGCCCCCCAACAUCUAUCCGCAUCUCCUUUCUCCAAGAGAAAUACAUCACCUUCAGUGAUUCCUGGGGAGAGAUGGUUUCCAGGUCCCUCUGCCCCUGCUCAGCCUCUCGUGAAGGGACUGUAGUUUUCCCAUAUUCCUGGUAAACUGCAUGUGUUUGAGGAAGGCCCCAGGGCUGGUCUAACCCCAGGCCUGCUGCAGAGGGGUCCUGAUCCAGUUAAUGUGAGCCUAUUGGUGCAGCCCGAGGGUUGUGGCUGUUCUGGCAGCUUCAUCGACCCAAUGGCUCUCAGAGUGAACCUGAGAGUUGAAGAAAACCCUUAGAUCUUUUUCAUGUGAAAAAUCACAUUUGUUUCUGUCCAUCUGACUUCCCCCUUGCCUAAAUACAGGAUAUCUGUAAAAUUCAAUCUUACUGCUUUUCACUCAGCAGUCAUAUCUUUUGAGACUUUUUUUUUUUAACUUUCACGUCUCCUUUUAGUUCUUCCCUGUGGUUUUGUGUCAAGCACAAAUUUAGUAAGCAAGGUACUGCUUUUUUUUUGGCUUUUAAGGGCCAGGCCCUCGGCAUGUGGAGGUUCCCAGGCUAGGAGUCUAAUCAGAGCUGCAGCUGCCAGCCUACACCACAGCCACAGCAACACUGGAUUCUUAACCCACUGAGUGAGGCCAGGGAUCGAACCCGCAUCCUCCUGGAUCCUAGUAGGGUUCAUUAACCGCUGAGCCACAAAGGGAACUCCUUUUUUUUUUUUUUAAAUACUGAGGAGUGCCCCGUGGCAACUGAGCAUCCUUAGACCCUUCUGUGUUGUGCUAGGCCUUGGACAUCAGGCCCCGACCCCAGGAAGCAGGGGAAGGGGAAGCGCACUGCGUCACUCCAGGCCGGGCUGAGGCUGCUCCGCCACGGCUGUGGAUAGUGACGCUCUAUCUCUGUCUCGUGGGCCAGGAACAUCUGAGUAAUCUUUGACUCACAUCUGUCCUGUGUCCUCUUGCCCAAUCUUGCCUGGUCUUCAUUAAAAAUGUCUCUCUCCUUUUCUUUCAUUUGCUGGUUCCUCAGCACAUCUCUCCUGGGUCCACUGUGCAGGCACUGUGCUUGUGAUGGAGAUGGUCUCACCAACACAAACUCCCUGUAUUUUUUAAAAAUUUUUUUUAUUUUGUCUUUUUAGGGCUGCACCCAUGGCAUAUGGAGAUUCCCAGGCGAGGGGUCUAAUUGGAGCUGUAGCUGCCGGCCUAUGCCAGGGCCACAGCAACACGGGAUCCGAGCCGCAUCUGCGACCUACACCACAGCUCAUGGCAAUGCUGGAUCCUCAACCCACUGAGCAAGGCCAGGGAGCGAACCUGCAACCUCAUGGUUCCUGGUCGUAUUCGUUUCCACUGUGCCAUGAUGGGAACUCCUUUUUUUGGUCGCACCCAGGGCAUAUAGAAGUUCCUGGGCCAGGGACUGAAUCCAAGCCAGGUCCUUAACCCAGAGCACCAGGCGGGGGAUCAAACCCUCACCUUAGCAGCGACCCAAGCUGCUGCAGAGACAAUGCUGGAUUGUCUCCCCUGCACCACAGCAGAAACGCCUCCCUGGAUGUUUAACAAGCAAUUCCCAAAGAGGCCACUGCACCCUGGUUGGGAGUGUCACUCAGGCUGAGCCCUGAAAGGAGAGGUAGGACUUGAUCAGGCCAAUUGUUGGAUCACAUUUCAAGCAGAUGAAACAGAAAGCAGUUUCCACUGGGCAGCACAAGGAUGGGAGCGGAGGCUGAAGAGCCGCAGCUGCCGAGUCAAGUCAGGCAGGCGGACUUCCGCUUAAGGAAGGUCUCGAGUUGGGCAGUGCCAAGACCUCAGCUCUACUCCAGCGCCAUCGGUGAAGCUUGAUCAGACAUCCACCUGAGAACCUUCCAGGAGGUGUGGAGUCCCUUCCCACUCCUGGGCCCAGUGGAGUCCCAGCUUCGACCACUGUCAGGUGCAUGAGGGAGUGACAGCAGCUCUCUGAUGGUCAGCUGGCAAGAGAGGCACUGGGGUUUCUGGGAGAAACCUCCUUGCAGAGGAAGCUGGAUGGGGCCCGGCUCAGUGGUGGGCCCACCCAGACCCAGUCAUCUUGCACGUGCCCCCAGCACUCGCACAGCAGGUCUUCAGUAUUUGCUGACUGACUCAAUGACUGACAGAGUCCAGGAGCAAAGUGGGAAGGUGGGAUGGAGGAUGCGACUGGGACACAAACCUCCUCAUGGUUUCCUUCCAGGUGAGGGUCCUGCUGGGGCUGCGCUCCCUGCUCCCUGCUCGGGCCAGGCCACCACCACUGGGCAAACGUGGGCUGGGACUGAUGUCCAGAUUCUCCCGUGGGUGAGAGCCGCAACAACAUCUACGUGCCCGCAGACACUUCUAGAUGCCCCAGGCACCUCUGGUGGGGUCCCUGCUCCACACCUCACGGUGUCAAGCUCUACCCUCCCUAUUGACCCCAUUACUGCCUAUCUGCACACGCGGCAGGCCUCUCCUGCAUUGGGGGAAGAGACGUGUGGGAGCCAGGAGCGAAUGGAGGCCGUGCACAUUCCUGGCCUGCGGCCUUUGCCCUUCGGCCUCUUCCGUGGGCUGGAAUCGCCUUCCCCGAUGUUCCCGUGCUGGCGCCCUCACUGCUCCUCAGAGGCCCUCCCUCCCCUGCUCAGCUUUCUUCAGCUCACCUGUUAUCACACAACUGGUUUCUCCGAGUGUGUGUGUGAUCUGUCUACCUUUCCGUGAUCUGUUUCCUCCACAUCACACAUAGGUAACACCAAAGCAAUGGAUUACUGUCUCCCUAGCACCUGCGACAACGUCUGCCACAGGUCAGUGCCCCAUAAACCUUUGCAGAAAGAAAGGGGGGGGGGAGCAGACUUCUUCCUGGUUCCCCCGCCCCCACCCAGCCUGCCGCCCGGGGCUGCACAGAGGCGCCCCGAGGGGCUAGGAAAGCCCUCGGCCUGGCCUUUGGGGGGCCAGUGCUGUCUGCCAUCUCCUGCACCGGGCUGGCAGCCUCCAUUGCCAAUGCCUCCCACGGCCAGUGCGAACCAGCGGCAGAAGUGAAAGUUGGCUUGACCAUCCCGCUCUCAUCGCUUCUCCAUUCCUCUUGCAGUGUUCUCUUGGCUCGUGGACAGCGUACUCUUGUUUAUCUAAAUCUUGUUUUCCCAGACACAACCAACGUUGGGGUCAACCCAGGACUCACAGCCUGAGACGUCCGGCAGCCCAAUUCUCUUGCAUUCUGUAGGUCCCAGGUGACUCACUGUCGUCACUGAAAGCCUUGUGGUCAGUCCCCGCCUCGCUGCUACUCGCCACUGUCGCCGCUGCGCUGCUGGAUGCGCUGGCGGCUCCUGCUCCAGCUACUGAUUUUCUGGCCACCUCCGCUGCCCGUGAGGCUAGAAUACAGCAUUGUCCCCUGACCCGAGUGAUUAUUAGAAUUCCAUUUUAAGCUCAUCAAAGUAGGCAUGCACUUUCAGAUUCAGACACGUUUUCUUUUCAAGGAAGGUGGAGCAAGUUCCCCAGGGAGAGGCCUGAGGAUGCCGCCCCCUGCUGAAGGCCGAGCUCGCCCUCGCUGUACAGCUGGGUCAGAUGUGUCCUUUGACUACCUGCCACUCCAGCGCCGGGCCCACCUCCCAGAGCCGGCGCAGGCUUUGGUUCAGGAGUGUCGGCUCCUGUUCCGGCAGUACUGCUUGGGCCUCCUCCUCUGCUUUCCAGCCAACACUCCGGUCUCUGCUGUCCCUCUGCCACA
rnacentral:lncRNA from 1 species